rnacentral:rRNA from 1 species
AUUGAACGCUGGCGGCAGGCCUAACACAUGCAAGUCGAACGAGUGGAGGACGUGUGAGUAAUGUCUGAGAACCUGCCUGAUGGAGGGGUAAGACUUCUGGAAACCUUCGCUAAUACCGCAUACUACCAUAUGGGCUGAGAUGGGUUUAGCUUGUUGGGGGGGUAACGGCACACCAAGGCGACGAUCCCUAGCUGGUCCGAGAGGAUGACCAGCCACACUGGAACGGAGACACGGUCCAGACUCCGACGGGAGGCAGCAGUGGGGAAUAUUGCACAAUGGGCGCAAGCCUGAUGCAGCCAUGCCGCGUGUAUGAAGAAGGCCUUCGGGUUGUAAAGCACUUUCAGCGGGGAGGCGUUACCCGCAGAAGAAGCACCGGCUAACUCCGUGCCAGCAGCCGCGGUAAUUC